CCUACGGGUGGCAGCAGUGGGGAAUAUUGGUCAAUGGACGCAAGUCUGACCCAGCAACGCCGCGUGAAGGAAGAAGGCUUUCGGGGUGUAAACUUCUUUUAAGGGGGAAGAGCAGAAGACGGUACCCCUUGACUAAGCCACGGCAAACUCCGUGCCAGCAGCCGCGGUAAUACGUAGGUUGCAAGUGUUGUCCGGAUUUACUGGGUGUAAAGGGCGUGCAGCCGGGAAAACCAGUCAGAUGUGAAAUCCCGCGGCUCAACCGCGGAACUGCAUUUGACACUGGCUUUCUUGAGUAUAGGAGAGGUGGGCGGAAUUCGUGGUGUAGCGGUGAAAUGCUUAGAUAUCACGAAGAACCCCGAUUGCGAAGGCAGUUCACUGGACUGCAACUGACACUGAGGCUCGAAAGUGUGGGUAUCAAACAGGAUUAGAUACCCGAGUAGUC
rnacentral:rRNA from 1 species